UAACAAUGGGUCUACUCUGUGGAGAAAGGA
rnacentral:piRNA from 1 species